GAUGAACGCUGGCGGCGCGCCUAACACAUGCAAGUCGAACGGUUAAAGCACCUUUUAGGUGUGUAUAAAGUGGCGAACGGCUGAGUAACACGUGGGCAACCUGCCCUCCUCUUGGGGAUAGCCUCGGGAAACCGAGGAUAAUACCCGAUACUUCAAUGUGGCCGCAUGACGACAUUGAGAAAGCUUUUGCGGAGAAGGAUGGGCCCGCGGCCUGUUAGCUUGUUGGUGGGGUAGAGGCCUACCAAGGCAAUGAUGGGUAGCUGGGUUGAGAGACCGACCAGCCAGAUUGGGACUGAGACACGGCCCAGACUCCUACGGGAGGCAGCAGUGGGGAAUCUUGCACAAUGGGCGAAAGCCUGAUGCAGCGACGCCGCGUGCGGGAAGAAGGCCUUCGGGUUGUAAACCGCUUUCAGCAGGGACGAGGCGAAAGUGACGGUACCUGCAGAAGAAGCCCCGGCUAACUACGUGCCAGCAGCCGCGGUAAUACGUAGGGGGCAAGCGUUAUCCGGAUUCAUUGGGCGUAAAGCGCUCGUAGGCGGUCUGUUAGGUCGGGAGUUAAAUCCGGAGGCUCGACCUCCGCCCGCUCCCGAUACCGGCAGACUUGAGUUUGGUAGGGGAAGGUGGAAUUCCUAGUGUAGCGGUGGAAUGCGCAGAUAUUAGGAAGAACACCAGUGGCGAAGGCGGCCUUCUGGGCCAUAACUGACGCUGAGGAGCGAAAGCUAGGGGAGCAAACAGG
rnacentral:rRNA from 1 species